UACAGAGGGUGCGAGCGUUGUUCGGAAUUACUGGGCGUAAAGCGCGCGCAGGCGGCCUUUUAAGUCUCGUGGUGAAAUGCCGGGGCUCAACCCCGUGCCCGCCGGAGAUACUGGGAGGCUGGAGACAUGUAGAGGCAAGCGGAAUUCCGGGUGUAGCGGUGGAAUGCGUAGAGAUCCGGAAGAACACCGGAGGCGAAGGCGGCUUGCUGGGCAUUGUCUUACGCUGAGGCGCGAAAGCGUGGGGAGCGAACAGG
rnacentral:rRNA from 1 species